AUUUGAGGCCAGAGCCAGCCAUCAUAACCACACCAUAUGCAAGUUUUUUUCUGGUGCAGGUGUUAACCGUCAGCAACAAUCUCAGGAUCAUCGCUUGGAUGAAAAAAGCAUCCCAUUGCAUUGAAAUGCAAUCGAGUUACGGAUCUCUUUCUUUUUCCCCUUUCUUGAAAUGUCCUCGUGUACGCCCAUGUGAAUGUGGGUGUAUUCACGAGGGUGUUCACCUUUAGCCCUUUCCCGUCUGGUGUAAUUUAUCCCUUCAGCGGAUGGAUGGAGCAACUGUAGAUGCCUGGCUGUAUUUCCCAGACAUAAAAGGUAGGACAAAAUUGAUCUCUAUUCUUCCUUUUGGACAAUUUUUGAUGGCGUUGAUUAUAAAUUGUUACGUAGUCACGGAGCAUGUUUAUUCGUGAGCUAGACGGUUAAAUGCAACUGUUUUCGCUCUCCGUUUUUGUUUUUAUCUCAGUAAGGGUUCGCAGAUCAGGCUUGUUUUGUUUUGUACCUCACGUUUUCUGUGGGUAAACAUCGAAUAUCACAUUCGAAAAUAUUUGAACUUAAAACACUUCAAGCAAAGUGUAACAAGACAACUUUUUUUUUUACCAAGAAGGACAUUGGAUGAAUACCAUUGAGGGAAUUUGGCACGUGUACAGUUUCGCUGCAUAAAUUCGAAUAAACUUUAACUCUGAAAUUCGCAAAGCGUUUUAGAAUGCAACCCGAGUUCAAACACCUC